AAAUUCAGACCGGUUGUCCUAGUGUUAGGUGAUUCUGAACUAUUGCGCUAUGGGCUAUGCCGGAAAUGUCACGGGUUGAGUGGUGAGGUGCAUUGGAUUAUGUUCUAGCAGAGUGGCUUAUAUUGCAAAGAUCCAGCGGGCGACUGGGAAGGAUUGUUUUUCUUAAUUUGGCCUUCGUGAUGAUUGUCAGUGCAAAGGUUUUUA
rnacentral:lncRNA from 1 species